UACGUAGGGUGCAAGCGUUGUCCGGAAUUAUUGGGCGUAAAGAGCUCGUAGGCGGUUUGUUGCGUCGGCUGUGAAAUCCCGAGGCUCAACCUCGGGUCUGCAGUCGAUACGAGCAAACUAGAGUGUUGCAGGGGAGACUGGAAUUCCUGGUGUAGCGGUGAAAUGCGCAGAUAGUCAGGAGGAACACCGGUGGCGAAGGCGGGUCUCUGGGCCGAUACUGACGCUGGAGGAGCGAAAGCGUCGGGGAGCGAACAGG
rnacentral:rRNA from 1 species